UACGAAGGGGGCUAGCGUUGUUCGGAAUCACUGGGCGUAAAGCGCACGUAGGCGGCUUCGUAAGUCAGGGGUGAAAUCCCGGGGCUCAACCUCGGAACUGCCUUUGAUACUGCGGGUCUUGAGUCCGAUAGAGGUGGGUGGAAUUCCUAGUGUAGAGGUGAAAUUCGUAGAUAUUAGGAAGAACACCGGUGGCGAAGGCGGCCAUCUGGACGGAUACUGACGCUGAGACGCGAAAGCGUGGGGAGCAAACAGG
rnacentral:rRNA from 1 species